AUAAUUAGGAUUCCUCCGUCAGGAGGAACCCUAUUGUAAUUGUUGCUAUAUUUAUUAUUAUUAUUCUUCUUGUAAUUUAUCUCAUGAACACAUUAGUAAAAAGUUUUGAAAUUUGGCAUAUUGAUACAACAUGCCACAAAUACCGCCCAAACAUAGACUGGCCCACAUCAGAAAAUAGGGGGCGCCACAGGCCACGCCCAAAUGUCCACUUUUCAGAGUGAUGGCAUUUCCACCCCAUUGCUCCAAUUCUUCUGAAACUUGGUGUGCAUGCCUCAUUUUUCAUGAAAAAAAAAGCCUCAAGGACCCAUAAGGUCCACCAUGAUGGAUUUUCCUGUACAGUGAUAAUUUGGGAAAACCUUCAAAAUUCCUCUUCUCUUGAACCAAAGAUCUAAUUGACUUGGAAUUUUGUACAGAUAUGUAUCAUUGAUGUAUUUAAAAACGUUACUUAAGACAGUUGAAUCAAAUACAAAAUGGCUGAAAGGGGUGUAUUUAUGUAAAUGUCCACAUUGCCUCAAUAUGUUUGUGUCACUAAAUCAAAUGUCAUUAUGAAUGAUGGUUUUUCAAACCUAAUAGGCUUUAAGGUGACACCCCCCUGAAGUACCCUGCAAAGUUUCACCUUGAUAUGUGAAAAUAUGACUGAAUUACAGCUGUUUGAGCUUGGACCAAAUCUGACAAUGCUUGCCUGAUUUUAUUAUCCAGUUACUGAACAUGGCAAAGUCCAGAUCUGGGAAUGGCUCAAUUGGAUGAGAUGUUGUGCUGGUAAACGUAGGGUUGUAGGUUUAAAACCAGUCAAAGGC